rnacentral:rRNA from 1 species
CUCAGAUCAUGUAAGAUUUUAAUGAUCGAACAGAUCAAAAUUUUAAACUUUUGCAUUUAAAUUUUAUCUUAAUCCAACAUCGAGGUCGCAAACUUUUUUUUUUAUUUGAACUAAAAAAAAAUAUUACGCUGUUAUCCCUAAGGUAAUUUUUUCUUAUAAUCAUUAUUAAUGGAUCAUUUAAUCAUUUAUUUAUGUUUAAUUUUUAAAAAAAGUUAAUUUAAUUUUUCUAUCACCCCAAUAUAAUAAUUAAUUUUAUUUUAAUAAAAAUUUUUAUAUAAUUUUAAAAUAAAAAUAAAUAUAAAACUCUAUAGGGUCUUCUCGUCUUUUAAAAUUAAUUUAGCUUUUUAACUAAAAAAUAAACUUCUAAAAAUAAAUAAGAGACAGUUUAUAUUUCAUCAAAUCUUUCAUACAAGUUUUCAAUUAAAAAACUAUUGAUUAUGCUACCUUUGUACAGUCAUUAUACUGCAGCCCUUUAAUUAUUAUCAGUGGGCAGAUUAGACCUUAAAUUAUAUUCAAAA